CUGAGACUUCAGUAGUUUUCUAGCCACUGUAGUCACCAGUUUGGUGUCUAGAGGCAGGAAGGCAAACGAAAAUUUCACAUUGUUUGAUAAGUUCUUCAUCGCAGGCUUUACUAAAAAGGUGGAGCUCUGCAUCAGGAGAAUUGUUUUUUUUGAAUAUGGACACGACUAAGGAGGAAGAUGUAGGACAAGAAAAUCGAACCGUGGUUUACCAAGGUGCUGUGGUUAUCCAAAGAGGGUGGAAAAGAAAGAAACGUUAUCUGACCUUGUUCGAUGACAUUUUGGUGGUAUCCAGUAAACUAUAAGUAUACGCAUCAUGCUUUCCUUACUAUAAGAGGCUACUCAGUGGAAAGCCCUUAAGAAAUAAGAAAUUUAAGAUAAAACAUGUCAUUCCAUUGGCUUACCUGUGGAUUGGUGAUGAAGUGGAUGCAUUCAGGUCAGACAACAUUGUUGCUUCCAAGUCCAUUUACCUAUACUGGCCGAUGGGACAUAUUGUUGCCACCUUUUGAUCCAUUCGUGAAGCCAAGAAACACAACAAAAUGGAACUUCCCAUGCAGAUAUUCACUGAGGACAUUGCAGGCUGUGACACUCCUCUGUAUGUAA
rnacentral:lncRNA from 1 species